UCGCUACUCCCACAGUCGAGCUAAAAUGCAAAGGGGUUUGAAGACUUGAAUGGAAUCAGCUAGAUUGAGGCUUAUGGGCUGAAAGAAUUAUUGCUGGUCCAUUUGACAUAAACUGCUGACUUGGACUCUUAUUAAUAAAGAAUACAGUUAAUAAGAGACACUAGAAGCACUUCAUAAGAAAUAACCACCAAAUUGGGACUCUUAUUAGGAAAACACCAAAAAUACUUCAUAAGAAACAACCACCAAGAUCAGGAUUAAUGGAACAGAGCUGUAUCAAAAACAGCUUCUGAAAGAUGCACGAUUCUGAGCAUGGAGAACAAUCACACCAACACACGCUAU
rnacentral:lncRNA from 1 species